ensembl:lncRNA
GGAGAUCGCGAGCAAGGGAAGGGCUGGAGGAGUUAACGCUGCCUGAAAGCAGGAGGGAGAGGGAAAAAAAGAAAAACUAAAAGAUGAAAACAAACUGCCACAAUCUCUGUACAGGCAGAACAUGAGACAUGGUUGGAGCUAAGAUAACAGAGCACAACAUGGUGAUCUGACACAAGACAGCACACAGGACCAGACUAAAUAGAAAAGGAGUGAUUAACAUAGUGCAGAGCAGGUAAUGGUGGCCAAUAAUAAGAUAAUAAUGGAACAACAGGGCGUAGACUGGCACCACGAUGACACAGAAGCACAUGGAAACUAAAGCAGAUGAAGAUGAACUCUGAUCUCUGUAAAACAGACCAGGAGUGUAUGAUCUCACAAUGACAGCCUGUGAAAGUCAGUUGCUCAAGUUGGCACCCACACACCUACACACCUCCAUCAUGUUUACCACAUCGUGACUGUUCACUGGCCUCCAACAGCAGCUGCCACUGCAAAACAACAGAUAUCACACAAAGUUGUAAAAUAAUUUAUUUACAUCUAAAUAAUAAUGGUGUCAUUUUUAUUAAUAAAUUAUAUGAUCAC